CAGGUCUUCGGAUGCUGACGAGUGGCGAACGGGUGAGUAAUACAUCGGAACGUGCCUGGUAGUGGGGGAUAACUACUCGAAAGAGUAGCUAAUACCGCAUGAGAUCUACGGAUGAAAGCAGGGGACCUUCGGGCCUUGUGCUACUAGAGCGGCUGAUGGCAGAUUAGGUAGUUGGUGGGGUAAAGGCUUACCAAGCCUGCGAUCUGUAGCUGGUCUGAGAGGACGACCAGCCACACUGGGACUGAGACACGGCCCAGACUCCUACGGGAGGCAGCAGUGGGGAAUUUUGGACAAUGGGCGAAAGCCUGAUCCAGCAAUGCCGCGUGCAGGAUGAAGGCCCUCGGGUUGUAAACUGCUUUUGUACGGAACGAAAAGCCUGGGGCUAAUAUCCCCGGGUCAUGACGGUACCGUAAGAAUAAGCACCGGCUAACUACGUGCCAGCAGCCGCGGUAAUACGUAGGGUGCAAGCGUUAAUCGGAAUUACUGGGCGUAAAGCGUGCGCAGGCGGUUUUGUAAGACAGUGGUGAAAUCCCCGGGCUCAACCUGGGAACUGCCAUUGUGACUGCAAGGCUAGAGUGCGGCAGAGGGGGAUGGAAUUCCGCGUGUAGCAGUGAAAUGCGUAGAUAUGCGGAGGAACACCGAUGGCGAAGGCAAUCCCCUGGGCCUGCACUGACGCUCAUGCACG
rnacentral:rRNA from 1 species